rnacentral:lncRNA from 1 species
CAUGAGGAGCGCCCUCGAAUCUAGUGCCGCACUGUUCAUAUGUCACUUGCAACGUGGUUACGGCAACUUUGCUGAAGUUCACUAAAAUCUCCACGACGUCACCUCUUCCAUCAUAGAAAUCUUGUCCGCCGGAGCCUCCCCAUGGCCCGUUGACAACCGUCGAGAUUUCAAGGCGUGCAGGCUACAUUUCAUACAAACACAUUCAAGUGCUUCAGUUAUGCAACCAAUAGAGCGCAUAGCCUUCAUCAACAAACAACCUUGAAACUCGCAGAAUUGAAGAGUAUCAACACAAUCCAAUACCUUUUUGUCGAGAUGAGAAUUCCAAGGGUUUUCAACGUAAGUGAGUACUCCCAGUUGGUCGACCACUCGACCACUUCUGCCACAGAACCCCAAAACACCAUGAGGCAGAGACUGAAAGUGCUGUCCUCGGGAGUUUCCGAAAGGUCCGUAUGUUUCAUUGUUGGUGAUCAAUGAGAUUGAGGUCAGAUAGCC